AGAGGAGUGGGGUGGAGUUGGAAUGAUGAAACCCAUGGAGUGCUAGUCUAUUUAUAAUAGGUGUAGGGAUGCAUCUCCAAGGGAUGCAUCCCAUCCACACAUCCUCUUAUGAAAGGACAUCAUUUAAAGGGCCAUAUUAAAUAAGAGGAGGUGCAGAUCAAGUGAGGAGGUGUAUCAAAUGAUAUGUCCUUUCAUGUGGUGCCAUAUUUUGACCAAGUCAACAUCACAUGCUAAUCACAUGUCCAUCACGCCUCACCUCUUGAUCUUUCAUGAUGAUGAUCCAAGGGCUCCAAUGCAAGGCGCCAUUCACUUGACCCAUUAUAUCUUAAUCCAAUGGUGGGAUUAAGAUCCAAUGGUCAAUUAUGGUAGCCAUCCUCUAACUCAAUCCAAUUGGGUUAAACCAACUCUCCAUUAUAACUUCAUCCAAUGGUAGAUCAAGAUCUAACGGUCUAGAUUGAAUGAUUUAUUAAAUCUAAUCCAAUUGGACUCAAACUAAGCCAAUUAGGUGCCAACUCUUGGCUAACCCAUAUUAGAAUAUGAUCUAAUCAAAUUAGAUCAAUUAAGAAUCAGAUUCGAAUCCAAUUCGAAACAGAUUUGAAUCCAAUUCGAAUCAGGAGCUAAGGUUUGCAACACUUGCUAGGAUGUUUAUCUUGCAAACAUGAUCUAAUCCAAUUAGACCCUUGAUAAGUUUUCUUGUGUGUGACCCAUUGGGUUCCAUACUUAGCCAGCAAUAGGUGUGAGUGCGAGUUGACCCAACUUGAUUAGAACUCUUCUAAUCGAUUUAAGUCCAAACUACGCGAACCCGAACUUAACAAUUAGAAUCAUUUCUAAUUGGUGAUCGAAUUAAACUUUUUAAUUCGAUCAAACCUAUAAA
rnacentral:lncRNA from 1 species